AAUAUUUAUGAGAUACCUUGCAUGAUACAAUUAUUGAAAUAAAAUGUUAGUAGGAAAUAAAUAAUACAUGAUCUAUUUUAGGAAUAUUAAUUUGAAGCUUCACUUUCGAAUGGAGAAAACCACUUACUGCGCAAAAUAUUAUUCCACUGAAUCGUGACAUACUCGUCCCGUUCAAAUCUGCUCUGCUCGUGCAGGAAACCAAUGACGUGCAUCAGUUCGUGUAUCACGGUACCUUUCUUCAAUAAACACCCUGGAACCUGAAGAUUCACGUCUUGUUUACCACCGAUUCUUCCCACGCUGCUCCAACAACCAGUAUUGCCAGCCGUGAUCCUGAUAUAAUCGCUUUCUUCACCGGUAUAAGAUUUUCAUAAAUUUAUAUCUAUCCUGAAGUAGAAUUAAAAAAUGUUAUCAGAUUAUUCUGUUAAUUUUUUUACAAAGAAUUCAAAAUUAAGGAUAGAUAAAUUAAAAAUAAACAAAAUUAAGAAUAAACGAAAGGAUAAUUAUACAAUAUGGACAAUAUUUAUUAAUUCUUUUCUCAAAGAAAAUUUAAAUCCAUGAAGGACUAAUCAUAUACGGCACCACGCCACCAGGCCACCGUGCAGCUUCCGCUUUAAGUCCGUUCUUGCCGAGCUGGGGCGGAAACAGAAUAUCACCCUCCGCAUAGUUACCCAACUCUUCCGGAUUGCGGUCCCAUCCCUCGUGCCAAUUCGCUACAAUGGCUCCAGUUUCGUUGUCCGGAUUCCGGUACAACAUCUCGCCAAAAUGUUGCAAAUGAGCGAUCACACCGUGAGGACUGUCCACCGCAUUGUCGAAGAUGUCUCGACGACGAAAUGGCCAGGCUGAUACCGAAACCAAUAAAACGGAGAAAGAGAUAAAGGAUAUACGAUUCAUAGCGAGUUGUAUCGUAUUCGAAAGAAUAUUUAGAAGCGUCUUCGCAAGGUGUUGGAACUGAUUCCACUGACGAAAAUUCACCGGUUCUCCCUGACUUUAUACGCACCUGAAAAACCCCACCCGUGGAUUUGCUCGAUGCUUCCGCUUGAUAUGGAAACGAUCGGGGACGGUUGGUGAUAACUAGUGGACUUUGGGUAACAGGAAGUCGAGAUUUAUUCGUACGAUUUCUCAAAGGUUUACACGACAUGAUAUUUUUGAUGUAUGGGAUGAUGGUCAUGGAGGGAAUCAUCGAAUGUCAUCGGUGAGGUUGUAAAUAAUAUCAUUGAUUCAUAAUUCUGAA